CAAAGGAAGGUCCGAGGACCAGAGUGAAGACUCCAGGCAGAACAAACAGCACUCCUGGCUAAGCCCAAUUUGCAUAGGGCAGGCCCAGGUGGAGGAAAAAACAUAUAAAAGGAGGAGCCAAAGCACUUUCUCUUGGACUCUCUCUCCUGCGUGCAUGCGCUCUUUUCUCUCUCUCUCUCUCUCUCUCACUCUCCUGCUAUCUUCUAAAUAAAAUAGAGCUGUAACACUGAUUUGCCUAAGAGCUGUAGCACGGUUGGUCCAAGACCCAAGACCUGUGACACGCCGAGGGCUUUAAUGUCCAUCACUCCAAAUCUUUGUUGUGAUAAGACAAAGAACCGAGGAACAUACACUCGCGUGACAUCUAUGGUGCCGUGACUCGGAUAUAACCUGGCUGAAACAAUCUCUGCGUGGAAGAGGCCAAGCACAACAGGAGCCCAACUCAGCGAAGCUCCUGUGCUACAAGCGGAAGGCGAAGAAACCCAGCACAAGGGAAGGCCCAUCGUGCUGGAAAAUAGGACAGCAAAAAACGAACUCAGCAGAAAGCUCACGUGGCCCAGUCUCAGAUUCCAGAAGACCUCCGGUUAAGAUGGGAAAUAACCAAUCCACUUCCUGGCAGACGCCCUUGAAAUGUAUCCUUGAUAACUGGAAGCUGUUUGACCCUCUAGCUCUAAGGAGAAGUCGUUUGAAAUUCUUUUGUGCCACUGCGUGGCCACAGUAUCCACUGGGGGACGAGGAACACUGGCCUGAGGAUGGAACUUUAAAUUACAAUACCAUCCUGCAAUUAGAAUUAUUCUGCAAAAGAUGAGGGAAAUGGACAGAGAUCCCUUAUGUCCAAAUUUUCUUCCGACUUAGAGAUAUGAAGGAACUCUGUCUUAAGUAUGGGAUUGUAGUACGCCCUAAAAGUGAGCCCACUAGGCAAAUGGUGUUAGGCACAGGCAACCAAGAAAA